AUUGAACGCUGGCGGCAGGCCUAACACAUGCAAGUCGAGCGAGCGGCGGACGGGUGUGUAAUGUCUGGGAAACUGCCUGAGGGGGGGGGGUCACUACUGGAGACGGUAGCUAAUACCGCAUACCCUCAGAUGUGCCCAGAUGGGAAUAGCUAGUAGGUGGGGUAACGGCUCACAUAGGCGACGGGCCCUAGCUGGUCUGAGAGGAUGACCAGCCACACUGGAACGGGGACACGGUCCAGAGUCCUACGGGAGGCAGCAGUGGGGAAUAUUGCACAAUGGGCGCAAGCCUGAUGUAGCCAUGCCGCGUGUGUGAAGAAGGCCUUCGGGUUGUAAAGCACUUUCAGCGGGGAGGCGUUACCCGCAGAAGAAGCACCGGCUAACUCCGUGCCAGCAGCCGCGGUAAUAC
rnacentral:rRNA from 1 species